CUGUGCAUGCAGACUCAAAACCACCGUGGAUUCAGACAUUUCUAUUUGUUUCCCAACUUCGUCUCGAUCGAUCAACUACAACCCCUGCCUGAUUAUUAUAUGAUCUGGACAAAGAGCGAGAGUAUAGGAUAGUCGAGCGGAUGCACAACUUGUUGGGCUUUGAUUCUAGUUGGGUUGGGUUUUAAGUGUGUGUACUGUGAGGGGCAUCAAGUUUAGUCUCUUGCAAUUUAUUCCUGGCCACUGGGUUUUAGGUGGGUUUUUUAUUACAUUUGUUCAGCAGUCUCUCACUCUUUUGAUUGACAAUUAUGGGCCAUGCUUUCCUUACUGUAGUUGUCUUUGGUGCCCUGCUAUGCGACAUAGGCUAGAGAGGCAUCGUUGUGCAUUUUAAUACGCACACUAUUGUGCGAUAUUGAGAGGGUUGCUGCUCUAUUGUUUGGAGUUUUUAGUUCAAUCUUGACUAGGAGCGUCGGGUUCCAACACCUCUCCUAGGAGGGGAGGGGAUUGUAAUCGGGCUCAAUUACAUCACGCCUUUGAGAGGUGAUGACUGUUUUUAGAAAGAUCUUGUUUAGAGUUUCAAACAAUUGAUCCUGAUAUUGCUACCUUUUCUAUUUUUAAAGAUUGCAGAAACCAGUGUAAAACACUGCAAAGUAUAGCGGAGCGCGGACAAUGAAGCUAGCUAGUAUGGAUCUAGAUUCUAAUUAGGCAUUGGAUGGCAUACCCUCCUAUGGGAUUUGUUCAUUAAAUGGUAAUUUGGUAUAUUAUUUUUUUAUUCGAUAACAAGGAGUUUAUGCGUCUACUAAGUUAGAAAUCUUAAUUAGAUGAUGUUAAGCAGAUAUUCUCGAUAUUAUUUUGAUGCAAUUAAUUUUUUUAUUAAAUUCUUUCGAUUUGAAGAUCUAAACUCAAAAAACUAUUAAAAUCGAGUAUAUCUUCUUAGUCACACUGAGAAGACAAUAUGCUAAACUGCAGGUUGAAAGACAAACCCGCACCUUAUACCAGUCCAUGUCAGGCCACCCAGUAGACCUUCGAACCCGCAAGUUGAUGGCCUAAACCCAUACCUUAUAGCUGAGGGGCCCAGCUCACAUUAGACCCCUAAUUUCACUUGAUUCUUUCAAGUUUAUACUUAAUUAUAAUGAUCAAAGUUAGAGUUUGCUCAAAUAUCAAGCAUUAAAACAGCAACAUAAAUAUAAUAUACCAAGAUUCUCAAAAUGUAACUACUAGUUUUUCUUUGAUUGUUCUAUAUAUAUAAUUUUAUUUUUAUUUUUAGAAAGGAAAACAAAAAUUACAGGGGAAAUUAGAAAAAUAAACCACAGCAGAUGAUCAUCAUCACCCCGACUUAACCUCCGUACCCUUUGCCCAACAAAGGGCAAAAAAAAAAAAAA